rnacentral:lncRNA from 1 species
GUGCGUUGUAGUUAGCGCCAGUUGUGGCGUCCACCGGAAGGUCUCCAGCAUAGCCUGGGUAUGCUCCUUUACCAUAAAUACCGGGACAAGCAGAUGCAGCCUCCAGUGGUGCCUCUUUUGGACCUUGGUAGUACCCAUUUCCAAACGGGUUGGUCACUGUCCCAGCCAAGAGGCUUGCCAGGUUGAUCACCAUCCCAUCAAGACCGAUAUCAUUGUUGGGUGCAACCAAAGGUGGGUUCUGUGGUCCGUAGAUGGGCUGGUGGAAUGGCCAUGCGCAUUGACCUGGGCACUGUGUCUCGGAGUUUCCAACCCAAAUGUAAGCGAACUUACU